rnacentral:rRNA from 1 species
GAUGAACGCUGGCGGCGUGCCUAAUACAUGCAAGUCGAGCGAACAGACGAGGAGCUUGCUCCUCUGACGUUAGCGGCGGACGGGUGAGUAACACGUGGAUAACCUACCUAUAAGACUGGGAUAACUUCGGGAAACCGGAGCUAAUACCGGAUUAUAUAUUGAACCGCAUGGUUCAAUAGUGAAAGACGGUUUUGCUGUCACUUAUAUAUGGAUCCGCGCCGCAUUAUCUAGUUGGUAGGGUAACGGCUUACCAAGGCAACGAUGCGUACCCGACCUGAGAGGGUGAUCGGCCCCACUGGAACUGAUACACGGUCCAGACUCCUACGGGAGGCAGCAGUAGGGAAUCUUCCGCAAUGGGCGGAAGCCUGACGGAGCAACGCCGCGGGAAUGAUGAAGGUCUUCGGAUCGUAAUACUCUGUUAUUAGGGAAGAACAAAUGUGUAAGUAACUAUGCCCGUGUUGACGGUACCUAAUUCAGAAAGCCGCGGCUUACUACGUGCCACCAGCCGCGGUAAUACGUAGGUGGCAAGCGUUAUCCGGAAUUAUUGGGCGUAAACGCGCGCGCAGGCGGUUUUUCUAGACUGAAGUGAACAGCCCCUGGCUCAACCGGGGAGGGGUCAUUGGAAACUGGAAAACUUUGGGUGCAAAAAAGAAAAUUGUAUUCCCUUGGGUUCCGGGGAAUGCCCCAAAAUUUUGAAGAACCCCCGUGGGGGAAGGCAAUUUUCUGGCUGGUACCUAACCCUAAUGUGCAAAACCGUGGGGUUCAACCAGGGAUUAAUUCCCCUGGUAUUCAACCCCUAAAACAAUAAGGGCUAAGUGUUAGGGGUUUUCCCCCCUCUUAGGCUGCACUUAACCCAUUAACCACUCCGCCUGGGGAGUCCAACCGCAUGGUUAAAACUCAAAGGAAUUGACGGGGACCCGCACAAGCGGGGGAGCAUGUGGUUUAUUUCGAAGCACCCCGAAAAACCUUCACCAAAUCUUGACUUCCUCUGCCCCCUCUAGAAUAAAGAUUUCCCCCUUCGGGGAACAAAUUGACAGGUGGUGCAUGGUUGUCGCCACCUCUUGUCUGGAGAUGUUGGGUUAACUCCCGCAACGAGCGCAACCCUUACGCUUAGUUGCCAUCAUUAAGUUGGGCCCUCCAAGUUGACUGCCGGCAACAAACCGGAGGAAGGGGGGAAUAGACCCCAAUCAUCGUGCCCCUUAUGAUUUGCGUUCACACACGCUCUACAUUGGACAAUACAAGGGGGUAUCGAACCCGCGAGGUCAAGCAAAUCCCAUAAAGCUUUUCUCAUUUCAGAUUGUUCUCUGCAUCUCCACUUUAGGAAGCUGGGAUCGCUAGCUAUUCAUAGAUCCUCCUGUUACGGGGUAAUACUUUCCCGGGUUU